UACGUAGGGGGCAAGCGUUGUCCGGAAUUAUUGGGCGUAAAGCGCGUGUAGGCGGCCAGAUAAGUCCGCUGUGAAAUCUCGAGGCUCAACUUCGAGCUGUCGGUGGAAACUGUCUGGCUAGAGUCCGGAAGAGGAGAAUGGAAUUCCUGGUGUAGCGGUGAAAUGCGCAGAUAUCGGGAGGAACACCUGUGGCGAAGGCGGCCCCCUGGUUGGAUACUGACGCUGAUACGCGAAAGCCAGGGGAGCGAACGGG
rnacentral:rRNA from 1 species